UAAUGCAAUUGUGAGAAUAAUUUGGUUACUCAAAUUUCUCUGCCUUCACAGCUUAAAUUGGUUUGUUUCCAUUAAAAUUGAAGAUUUAGACUCAUUUCAGCAUUUUUAGACUCAUCAGCAAAGAAUAUUUCUUGGCAAUGAGGAAGAGGUAAGCCUUGGAAGAAUAUUGUAGACAUGAUGGAUUUUCACUCUACACUUUCCAGGACCAAGCAAUCUCGUACACAUGCCAGAAAUCCUUGUGAAUUUCUCCAAG
rnacentral:lncRNA from 1 species